GGCUCAGGAUGAACGCUAGCGGCAGGCUUAAUACAUGCAAGUCGUGGGGCAGCAUGAGUAGCAAUACUUGAUGGCGACCGGCAAACGGGUGAGGAACACGUACACAACCUUCCUUCAAGCGGGGAAUAGCCCAGAGAAAUUUGGAUUAAUACCCCAUAAUAUAAUUGAUAAGGCAUCUUAUUAAUAUUAAAGCUUCGGCACUUGAUGAUGGGUGUGCGGCUGAUUAGAUAGUUGGCGGGGUAACGGCCCACCAAGUCUACGAUCAGUAGCUGAUGUGAGAGCAUGAUCAGCCACACGGGCACUGAGACACGGGCCCGACUCCUACGGGAGGCAGCAGUAAGGAAUAUUGGACAAUGGACGAAAGUCUGAUCCAGCCAUGCCGCGUGAAGGAUUAAGGUCCUCUGGAUUGUAAACUUCUUUUAUAUGGGACGAAAAAGGGCAUUCUUGUUCACUUGACGGUACCAUAUGAAUAAGCACCGGCUAACUCCGUG
rnacentral:rRNA from 1 species